rnacentral:rRNA from 1 species
UACGAAGGGGGCUAGCGUUGUUCGGAAUUACUGGGCGUAAAGCGCACGUAGGCGGAUAUUUAAGUCAGGGGUGAAGUCCCGGGGCUCAACCCCGGAACUGCCUUUGAUACUGGGUAUCUCGAGUCCGAGAGAGGUGAGUGGAAUUCCGAGUGUAGAGGUGAAAUUCGUAGAUAUUCGGAGGAACACCAGUGGCGAAGGCGGCCCACUGGCUCGGUACUGACGCUGAGGUGCGAAAGCGUGGAGAGCAAACAGG